rnacentral:lncRNA from 1 species
CCGAGUACCCCUGGCUGCUCUGAGGGAUAGUACAGCGAGACCCAUGGGGCUCAGGCCUUAUGUCUCUCUGUUCCAAAGAUGCCAUGAGAUGAGGCCUCCAUGUCCCAGCCUCACCACCCCAAGGCCUCGUCUGGCACGUUUCCUGGCACUCUCCCCUCGUGCCACCUUGGCCUCCCGCUAAAGCAGAGGAACCCCAGCUCCCCAGCUCUCCCCUCCCUGCAAUCCCUGAAACCAAACAGACCCAUGCUCUCUUCUCUGGUUAAGGGCCAUGGGAACCCAGGUGGCAGGUAACAGGGUGAUAGCCAGAGAGCACAGAUCAAAGGUCUGGAAUCUCCCCAGGUCCACAGAGCAAGCUUUCCUGCCUUCGGCACAUGGCUUUGUGUAUCAAUUGUGUGCCAGGCUCAGGCUAGUGCAGGAGGAACGUUGGUGGGAAGACAGAGAUGGCCCUGUGGUCACAAAACUCACCUGCUAGUGCAGGAGACUGUGACGCAGCUGGACAGUAAGGAAAUGGGGGGUAAGGAUACCUGAGCCCUUCCAGGGACUGCCUCCAGGAGCCCGUCCGUGGCUGUGCAGAGGCUGCUGCUGCUCACCCUGCCCCUCGGAAGGCCUCAGCCCAACAGCGGGGCAGUGAGCAGCGGGCUUCCCUCUCAGAACCCUUGUUUGGGCCUCACUCUGGGCCGCCCCGCACUUCUAACUUUCCCCUCUUAAUGCUCUGGUGUGUCCCUCUGCGCUAUUGCCCUUCCAUGCCCAAGAGCGAGUCAAGACAUUCCUGAGUUCUCAGAGCACAGCC